GAUGAACGCUAGCGGCAGGCUUAAUACAUGCAAGUCAAGGGGGGUAGCAAUACUACCGGCGCACGGGUGAGUAACACGUACAUAACAUACCAUAUACUGGGGUAUAGCUUUGGGGAAACUGAAGGUAAUCCCCCAUAACAUUGCGAGAGGGCAUCUGAUUGCAAUUAAAGUUUCGACGGUAUAUGAUUGAUGUGCGUUUGAUUAGCUUGUUGGUAGGGUAACGGCCUACCAAGGCGACGAUCAAUAGCUGGCGUGAGAGCGCGACCAGCCACACUGGAACUGAGACACGGUCCAGACUCCUACGGGAGGCAGCAGUAGGGAAUAUUGGACAAUGGGCGAAAGCCUGAUCCAGCCAUGCCGCGUGAUAGAUGAAGGCCCUCUGGGUUGUAAAUAUCUUUUUAAUCUGGGAAGAAACUCCGUACUAUUCUUAGAGGCCUGACGGUACCAGAGGAAUAAGCACCGGCUAACUCCGUGCCAGCAGCCGCGGUAAAGU
rnacentral:rRNA from 1 species